GGAAAGGUGGCAGAGUGGUUGAAUGCGGCGGUCUCGAAAACCGUUUACCGGAGUAAUCCGGUACGAGGGUUCGAAUCCCCCCCUUUCCG
rnacentral:tRNA from 1 species